CGGUGGGGACGCUACCUGCAAGUCGAGCGGAUGAGAGGAGCUUGCUCUUCGAUUCAGCGGCGGACGGGUGAGUAAUGCCUAGGAAUCUGCCUAGUAGUGGGGGACAACGUUUCGAAAGGAACGCUAAUACCGCAUACGUCCUACGGGAGAAAGUGGGGGAUCUUCGGACCUCACGCUAUUAGAUGAGCCUAGGUCGGAUUAGCUAGUUGGUAGGGUAAAGGCCUACCAAGGCGACGAUCCGUAACUGGUCUGAGAGGAUGAUCAGUCACACUGGAACUGAGACACGGUCCAGACUCCUACGGGAGGCAGCAGUGGGGAAUAUUGGACAAUGGGCGAAAGCCUGAUCCAGCCAUGCCGCGUGUGUGAAGAAGGCCUUCGGGUCGUAAAGCACUUUAAGUUGGGAGGAAGGGCUCAUAGCGAAUACCUGUGAGUUUUGACGUUACCAACAGAAUAAGCACCGGCUAACUUCGUGCCAGCAGCCGCGGUAAUACGAAGGGUGCAAGCGUUAAUCGGAAUUACUGGGCGUAAAGCGCGCGUAGGUGGCUUGAUAAGUUGGAUGUGAAAUCCCCGGGCUCAACCUGGGAACUGCAUCCAAAACUGUCUGGCUAGAGUGCGGUAGAGGGUAGUGGAAUUUCCAGUGUAGCGGUGAAAUGCGUAGAUAUUGGAAGGAACACCAGUGGCGAAGGCGACUACCUGGACUGACACUGACACUGAGGUGCGAAAGCGUGGGGAGCAAACAGGAUUAGAUACCCUGGUAGUCCACGCCGUAAACGAUGUCAACUAGCCGUUGGGAUCCUUGAGAUCUUAGUGGCGCAGCUAACGCAUUAAGUUGACCGCCUGGGGAGUACGGCCGCAAGGUUAAACUCAAAUGAAUUGACGGGGGCCGCACAAGCGGUGGAACAUGUGGUUUAUUCGAAGCAACGCGAAAAACCUUACC
rnacentral:rRNA from 1 species